rnacentral:rRNA from 1 species
GACGAACGCUGGCGGCGUGCUUAACACAUGCAAGUCGAACGGUGAAGCGCCUUCCUUUUUGGUGGGUGUGGAUGAGUGGCGAACGGGUGAGUAACACGUGAGUAACCUGCCCCCUUCUUCUGGAUAACCGCAUGAAAGUGUGGCUAAUACGGGAUAUUCUGGGUCUGUCGCAUGAUGGGUCUGGGAAAGAUAUUGUUUCGGUGGGGGAUGGGCUCGCGGCCUAUCAGCUUGUUGGUGGGGUGAUGGCCUACCAAGGCGGUGACGGGUAGCCGGCCUGAGAGGGUGGACGGUCACACUGGGACUGAGACACGGCCCAGACUCCUACGGGAGGCAGCAGUGAGGAAUAUUGCACAAUGGGCGCAAGCCUGAUGCAGCGACGCCGCGUGAGGGAUGGAGGCCUUCGGGUUGUGAACCUCUUUCGCCAGUGAAGCAGGCCUGCCUCGUUUGUGGGUGGGUUGACGGUAGCUGGAGAAGAAGCCCCGGCUAACUACGUG